UCUGAAAGACCAACAUCAUCUUCAUUCGGGUUGCCAUGACCAUUAUUCUCUGAGUUCAGCUCUGUCACAACAGAAUCAUCAUUAAAACUCUCCAAAUUAUCUACAUUUGACCUAUAUGUGGCAGCACGAAAAUAAUUGGGAACAGGGAAAGAAAAAAGAGUUUGACCAAACUGCAUAUUUGGUCCCCAAGGAGGUCCAAUCAAUGAUAGAUUAGAGGGUAUAUCUCCAGCCAAAUUUCCUUUGGCAUAACCUGUUGAAGUU
rnacentral:lncRNA from 1 species